AGUGAACGCUGGCGGUAGGCCUAGCACAUGCAAGUCGAACGGCAGCACAGUAAGAGCUUGCUCUUACGGGUGGCGAGUGGCGGACGGGUGAGGAAUACAUCGGAAUCUACUUUUUCGUGGGGGAUAACGUAGGGAAACUUACGCUAAUACCGCAUACGACCUACGGGUGAAAGCAGGGGAUCUUCGGACCUUGCGCGAUUGAAUGAGCCGAUGUCGGAUUAGCUAGUUGGCGGGGUAAAGGCCCACCAAGGCGACGAUCCGUAGCUGGUCUGAGAGGAUGAUCAGCCACACUGGAACUGAGACACGGUCCAGACUCCUACGGGAGGCAGCAGUGGGGAAUAUUGGACAAUGGGCGCAAGCCUGAUCCAGCCAUACCGCGUGGGUGAAGAAGGCCUUCGGGUUGUAGAGCCCUUUUGUUGGGAAAGAAAAGCAGCAGGUUAAUACCCCGCUGUUCUGACGGUACCCAAAGAAUAAGCACCGGCUAACUUCGUG
rnacentral:rRNA from 1 species